GUACAUGUACUGAAAAGAUGAGUAUAAAGAGUUGGCUUACACUUGCCACAAGCUACAUCAGAGUCACAUCAGUACAAUACAUACAAUCAUCAUGAAAAGAGCAUGGUUCGACUACGGACGAAAACAAAUGAUAAAAUAACAACGUCCAUCCUUGCUAUCCCGGGCUACUGGCCUGGAACCCAUCCUAGAUCGAUGAUGAAGAAGAAGAAACUCCAAAUAGCACAAUCAGCGUUCUCACGUCAAAGUAACUCUUUAUCUGUACCUGCAACUGGUGUUGUAGUAAUCUGUGAGCCACAGGGACUCAGCAAUCUUAUUUCCGAAGGUAUCAAGACUAGCAAAGCUUAAUGGGUGAGGUAUGGUUAAGUGGUGAGGCUACAUCAAGCGACUAAGCAUUUAUUUGAGGUGCCUAACUUACGAGUACAAGAAUAAGAGGGAGAUGAUCUACGCGUAACAGACGAGAACUACUGAUGAUCAAAUAAAUGGUCCUGAACACCUACUUACGUCACACAUAACCCCACCGUGUCCUUAGACGGAGAAGGAGCUCACGAAAGAGACAGUCACGGUUACGCACUCAGUUGGCAUAUUUUCAUUAAGCUUACUUCAAGUUAUCUAGAACCGGAUGUUAAAGAAAGUUUCCACGUUGCCACAUAACCGCGGGCAUGACUUUCCGAAGCAUUUAACCCUGCAGGGGUGCUCCAACAAAUCCAUCACAAACUACCACACGCUGCGACGGAAUGACCUCGAUCAAGAAAACCCGUGAUCUCCUCGGGUUCCUAUUGGAAAACCUCAACCUCGAGAUAACCCAAAGCAUCCUUGGAAUCCCUCGCACAAGACGUUCGAGAAAGGUAAAACANAAACAAGUCCAGCAAGGUCGCCCGGCGUGUUAACGAUCCCGAUAGGAUCCGCGUAUAUCAUUCCCAGGACAAAACAGAUAAGCACAAUGUACGGUGGCCUGAUAGACAUCUCUCGAGUUGCCUUGGGUUGGCCCCACAAACGGCUCUAGUUUGGAGCAGCACCAACAACACUGCCCCCCCCCCUUAAUUAUGUUGAAUUACUCCUGGGGUUCAUGACGUCCUAUGUUUUCAGUAUUAACAGAAUUAUUAUGUUGGGAAAAUAUAGUACCAAUGUUGGGCCUUUCCACACGAGCUUUAUCCCAAAAUGAGAAUCUAGGGGGUCCCCAUAAUAACCCCAAGCAUGCUACGAGCGCUCAUUUAUGGAACAUAACACCGGUAGCCGAAACUAAGGUGGCAAAGGUGGAACAAAACACCAGGCUAGAAAGGCUGAGCCUUCCUCCUUUUACCAAGUAUAUAUGUGCAUUAAAUUAAAUAGCAUUAAUAUACUGAUAUAACAAGGAACCCAUGUUUUCACAUGGAAGCAACUGCACCUACAACUAGCAACAUUAUCCAAUGGUUAAGCAAGUGGUAACAUAGCCAAUUAGUGGUUUGCUAGGUUGUAGAAAGGUUGAAGGUUUUCAUGGCAAUGUUGAGAGGCUGAUAUUUAACAGGUGGUAGGCAGCGAGACAUAACGGUAGAAACGAAACAACUAGCAGGGCAAUGAUAGUAAUGUUAUCCAGGGAAAUGACUAUAUUGCCUGAGAUCCUCCUUGGAAGAAGAACGACUCCGUGAAGCAGACGAACCGACAUAGUCGAACGAAUCCUCAUAUUCUGACAUGCUUGCGGAACUCUAUCGAGACGAAGCAAACUAAAACAACAAUCAACACACGAUAUUCACCAUGACACAUGCACGCCACGAUGGAAAACACAUAUGAUGCAUGAUCAAUUUCAAAAAUGCAAGGCAGGGCAUGGCAAUUCACAACAAUCAAACACUACACAUUAAGUGAAGUUCAAUAUGCAACGAGUUGCAUAUUGACGGAACUCCACAUUCAAAUAUUUAGUUCACUCUCGUAUAGGUACACGAAAAUAUUAAAGGUUAUUUAAACAUGGCAAGUGAUGAAGCACAAAUUAAAAUACAUAUCUAGGCAGUUUAAAUGAGGCCGGAAACGACAUAUAGCAUCUCCGAAAUGACCCCACACAUUA
rnacentral:lncRNA from 1 species